rnacentral:rRNA from 1 species
CCUACGGGGGGCUGCAGUGGGGAAUUUUGCGCAAUGGGCGAAAGCCUGACGCAGCGACGCCGCGUGAGGGAAGAAGGUCUUCGGAUCGUAAACCUCUGUCGGAGGGGAAGAAACUACGGGGUGCUAAUACCACUCCGUAUUGACGGUACCCUCUGAGGAAGCAUCGGCUAACUACGUGCCAGCAGCCGCGGUAAUACGUAGGAUGCAAGCGUUGUUCGGAGGUGCGUGGUGUAAAGGGCCCGUAACGGGUGAAAGCCCCCGGCUCAACCGGGGAAUUGCCCGUGAUACUACCAAGCUCGAGUACGGGAGAGGGAAGUGGAAUUCCUGGUGUAGCGGUGAAAUGCGUAGAUAUCAGGAGGAACACCGGUGGCGAAGGCGGCUUCCUGGACCGAUACUGACGCUGAGGCGCGAAAGCGUGGGUAGCAAACAGGAUUAGAUACCCGGGUAGUC